GGGUCAAGAAAAAUGUGGUAUCAGAGCCCAGAGUUGAAGUGUCCUAGGGUGUCUAUAAAGUUGUGUUUGGUAGAGUCUUGCGUAAUGGUAUGGAGAUGUCUGUACUUUUCUUUGAGAGGCUAUAGGGCAUUUAAGAAAUAUUUCCCUUCUUUCAUGUCUCAGAUCAUGAAGUAGAAGUUUUCUCUAAGGAACUUAUGCAGGUUCUUUUGUUAAUCCAUUCGUGCCAUCUCUG
rnacentral:lncRNA from 1 species